rnacentral:rRNA from 1 species
UGAGGAAUAUUGGGCAAUGCCCGCAAGGGUGACCCAGCAACGCCGCGUGGAGGAUGAAUGUCGUAAGAUUGUAAACUCCUGUUAGAGGGGAAGAAUAGUACCGGUUGGACCGGUAUAUGACUGUACCCUCAGAGAAAGCCCCGGCUAACUACGUGCCAGCAGCCGCGGUAAUACGUAGGGGCAAGCGUUGUCCGGAUUUACUGGGUGUAAAGGGCGCGCAGGCGGGAUAAAAAGUCAGUGGUGAAAUCCUACAGCUUAACUGUAGAACUGCCUUUGAUACUUUUAUUCUUGAGUUCGGGAGAGAGAGACGGAAUUCCAGGUGUAGUGGUGAAAUACGUAGAUAUCUGGAAGAACACCCGUUGCGAAGGCGGUCUCUUGGUCCGACACUGACGCUGAGGCGCGAAAGCGUGGGGAGCAAACA